rnacentral:rRNA from 1 species
CACUUCUAAGGAAGGCAGCAGGCGCGCAAAUUACCCAAUCCUGACUCAGGGAGGUAGUGACAAGAAAUAACAAUAAACCGGCUUAUGCCGGUUUAAUUGGAAUGAGUACAAUUUAAACAUCUUAACGAGGAACAAUUGGAGGGCAAGUCUGGUGCCAGCAGCCGCGGUAAUUCCAGCUCCAAUAGCGUAUACUAAAGUUGUUGCAGUUAAAAAGCUCGUAGUUGGAUUUCUGUGGGGACGGAGCGGCCGGCCGCACAUCGCGGUUCGAGCUAGCGCUUUCCCUACAUCCUGCCGCGAACCGUGCUACCAUUAGUUUGGUGGCGCCGGGGAUCGGCUCGAUUACUUUGAGAAAAAUAGAGUGUUCAAAGCAGGCCACACGCCUUGAAUAAGUUAGCAUGGAAUAAUAACUAAGGACUUCGGUUCUAUUUUGUUGGUGUUCGGGACUGAAGUAAUGAUUGAUAGGGACAGUUGGGGCGGUCUGUAUUCCAAAGCGAGAGGUGAAAUUCUUAGACCUUCGGAAGACAAACAGCUGCGAAAGCGUUCCGCAAGGAUGUUCCCUUUGAUCAAGAACGAAAGUUGGGGGAUCGAAGACGAUCAGAUACCGUCGUAGUCUCAACUAUAAACUAUACCAGCUAGGGAUCGGCCAACGUUAUUCUAUACCGACUUGGUCGGCACCUUAUGAGAAAUCAAAGCAUCUGGGUUCCGGGGGGAGUAUGGUCGCAAGGCUGAAACUUAAAGGAAUUGACGGAAGGGCACCACCAGCCGUGGAGCCUGUGGCUUAAUUUGACUCAACACGGGAAAACUUACCAGGUCCAGACAUAGUAAGGAUUGACAGAUUGAUAGCUCUUUCUUGAUUCUGUGGGUGGUGGUGCAUGGCCGUUCUUAGUUGGUGGAGUGAUUUGUCUGGUUAAUUCCGUUAACGAACGAGACCCCAGCCUGCUAAAUAGCGCGUGUGAGCUUUGCUCGCAGCGAGCUUCUUAGAGGGACUAUGAUGCGCGAUAGCACAUGGAAGUUUGGGGCAAUAACAGGUCUGUGAUGCCCUUAGAUGUUCUGGGCCGCACACGGGCUACACUGGCGCCUGCAACGAGCAUAUCAGCUGGCCCGAGAGGGUCUUGGCUAAUCUUUUGAACCGGCGCCGUGCUUGGGAUUGACCUUUGCAAUUGUUGGUCAUGCAACGAGGAAUGCCUUGUAAACGCGAGUCAUCAGCUCGCAUUGAAUACGUCCCUGCCCUUUGUACACACCGCCCGUCGCUCCUACCGAUGAAUGUUCCGAUGAAAUUUUCGGAGAGUGCCUGUGAACUUGGCUCUGCCUUGCGAACGGGAAGCUCAAAGUCACUUAAAUCUGAACAUUUC